rnacentral:piRNA from 1 species
UGAUAUAUGGCUUGAUGUCCUUGACCAAG